ACCUACGGGGCGCAGCAGUAGGGAAUCUUCCACAAUGGACGAAAGUCUGAUGGAGCAACGCCGCGUGAGUGAAGAAGGGUUUCGGCUCGUAAAGCUCUGUUGGUAGUGAAGAAGGAUAGAGGUAGUAACUGGCCUUUAUUUGACGGUAAUUACUUAGAAAGUCACGGCUAACUACGUGCCAGCAGCCGCGGUAAUAAGUAGGUGGCAAGCGUUGUCCGGGUUUAUUGGGCGUAAAGCGAGUGCAGGCGGGUCCAUAAGUCUGAUGUGAAAGCCUUCGGCUCAACCGG
rnacentral:rRNA from 1 species